rnacentral:ncRNA from 1 species
AGAAAAUAAAGGUCAGGAAGUAGUAAUUAGCAAUUUUUUUCAGAGAGAAGCUGGUUGGUGUAAAGCUUUAAAAGUUUCUGGUGAACUCGUCCUGAAAGAUAAACCUUUCGUUGUGCUUCCGCGUUAAGGAGCAAUAAGUGUCACAUUAUGUGGAACUUAGGUGGUACCGCGAGUAAAUUCGUCCUAUGA